GGACUGCGUUCCUCGGGCUUCGCGGAGCGCGGGGAAGUUUCUCUCCACUCGACUGUGAGAGACCUUUCCCAUCUCCGCUGCGAAGCGCCGGGCUCCCCGUUGUGCCCCGCUCCGUGCCAGGAGCCAUUUCGCUGCCGCCGGUUUCCAGGGGCUGCAUCCAGGGAAGCGCCAGCGGCGGUGUGCCGGCAGCCGCCGCUUAGCCGGAGCGAAUCCGGCCGGGCUGCUGCGGGAGGGUGCGAGACGGACGUAACUUUCCUUCUGAAAAACGAUGUUUGAGGAGUGUAGUCUGAAGUGUUCUGUGCAAGAUGUGUAAGCUACAUGGCGAGCUUUGUCUCUGUUCAUGAUCUUGCAAUUAUCUGUACCGACUCCUAAAAAUAAAGCAUCACACACAAGUCUCUCUGCCAGUGCAGAGGAUAUUGAUGCUCGGGUACAUGUUUGAAAUGUUUAUGGAACAGCAUGAAAGCUAAUUCUCAUGGUCUGCUGCUGAAAAUUUGAAAAUAUGGCUUGUGUAAUGCCAGGCAAAUAUUCUCAUUAGAUAACUGGCUAGAAAAUAGUGUUUCAUCAUUACAGAAGGCAAGUUUCUUCUACCUGCAC
rnacentral:lncRNA from 1 species